GGAUCAUUACACAAUAAAAUACGAAGGCCGUUCGCGGCUGGACUAUUUAUUACCCUUGUCUUUUGCGCACUUGUUGUUUCCUGGGCGGGUUCGCUCGCCACCAGGACCACAAUAUAAACCUUUUUUAUGCAGUUGCAAUCAGCGUCAGUAUAACAAAUGUAAAUCAUUUACAACUUUCAACAACGGAUCUCUUGGUUCUGGCAUCGAUGAAGAACGCAGCGAAAUGCGAUACGUAGUGUGAAUUGCAGAAUUCAGUGAAUCAUCGAAUCUUUGAACGCACAUUGCGCCCUUUGGUAUUCCAAAGGGCAUGCCUGUUCGAGCGUCAUUUGUACCCUCAAGCUUUGCUUGGUGUUGGGCGUUUUUGUCCCCCCCAAAAGGGGGACUCGCCUUAAAAGGAUUGGCAGCCGGCCUACUGGUUUCGCAGCGCAGCACAUUUUUGCGCUUGCAAUCAGCAAAAGAGGACGGCAAUCCAUCAAGACUCCUUCUCACGUUUGACCUCGGAUCAGGUAGGGAUACCCGCUGAACUUAAGCAUAUCAAUAAGCGGAGGAAAAGAAACCAACAGGGAUUGCCCUAGUAACGGCGAGUGAAGCGGCAACAGCUCAAAUUUGAAAUCUGGCUCUUUCAGAGUCCGAGUUGUAAUUUGCAGAGGGCGCUUUGGCUUUGGCAGCGGUCCAAGUUCCUUGGAACAGGACGUCACAGAGGGUGAGAAUCCCGUACGUGGUCGCUAGCUAUUGCCGUGUAAAGCCCCUUCGACGAGUCGAGUUGUUUGGGAAUGCAGCUCUAAAUGGGAGGUAAAUUUCUUCUAAAGCUAA
rnacentral:sRNA from 1 species